rnacentral:rRNA from 1 species
CGGGCGUUAAGUUGCAGGGUAUAGACCCGAAACCCGGUGAUCUAGCCAUGGGCAGGUUGAAGGUUGGGUAACACUAACUGGAGGACCGAACCGACUAAUGUUGAAAAAUUAGCGGAUGACCUGUGGCUGGGGGUGAAAGGCCAAUCAAACCGGGAGAUAGCUGGUUCUCCCCGAAAGCUAUUUAGGUAGCGCCUCGUGAAUUCAUCUCCGGGGGUAGAGCACUGUUUCGGCUAGGGGGCCAUCCCGGCUUACCAACCCGAUGCAAACUGCGAAUACCGGAGAAUGUUAUCACGGGAGACACACGGCGGGUGCUAACGUCCGUCGUGAAGAGGGAAACAACCCAGACCGCCAGCUAAGGUCCCAAAGUCAUGGUUAAGUGGGAAACGAUGUGGGAAGGCCCAGACAGCCAGGAUGUUGGCUUAGAAGCAGCCAUCAUUUAAAGAAAGCGUAAUAGCUCACUGGUCGAGUCGGCCUGCGCGGAAGAUGUAACGGGGCUAAACCAUGCACCGAAGCUGCGGCAGCGACGCUGAUGCGUUGUUGGGUAGGGGAGCGUUCUGUAAGCCUGCGAAGGUGGCCUGUG